UUACGACCAUAUCACGUUGAAACACCGGUUUUCGUACGAUCACCGAAGUGAAGCAACGUCGAGCCCGGUCAGUACUUAGAUUGGCGACCGCUUAGGAAUACCAGGUGCUGUAAG